rnacentral:rRNA from 1 species
AGCAGCCGCGGUAAUUCCAGCUCCAAUAGCGUAUAUUAAAGUUGUUGCAGUUAAAAAGCUCGUAGUUGAAUUUCGGGAUCAAUACGUCGGUCAUGCUUUUUGGUACGAACUGGCGUCAUUGGUUUCUCCUUUCUGACGAACCAUGAUGUCAUUAAUUUGGUGUUAUGGGGAGUUGGGACUGUUACUUUGAAAAAAUUAGAGUGUUUAAAGCAGGCAUAAGCUUGAAUACAUUAGUAUGGAAUAAUGAAAUAGGACGUUUGAUCCUAUUUUGUUGGUUUCUAGGAUCAACGUAAUGAUUAAUAGGGAUAGUUGGGGGCAUUAGUAUUCAAUUGUCAGAGGUGAAAUUCUUGGAUUUAUUGAAGACUAACUACUGCGAAAGCAUUUGCCAAGGAUGUUUUCAUUAAUCAAGAACGAAAGUUAGGGGAUCGAAGACGAUCAGAUACCGUCGUAGUCUUAACCAUAAACUAUGCCGACCAGGGAUCGGAUGAUGUUAAUUUUUUAAUGACUCAUUCGGCGCCUUACG